rnacentral:rRNA from 1 species
GGUUAAAAAGCUCGUAGUUGGAUCUCGGCAAGUAGAGGGCGGUAUGCUUCGUAGCAUUACUGCCCUAUUACUUGUAGUUUUGCCAGAGGUUCCUGGGUGCUCUUAAUCGAGUGUCUAGGGAUGCUGGCAGGUUUACUUUGAAAAAAUUAGAGUGCUCAAAGCAGGCUAUUACGCUUGAAUAUUCGUGCAUGGAAUAAUAGAAUAGGAAGUUGUUUCUAUUUUGUUGGUUUUCGGAAAUCGACUUAAUGAUUAAUAGGGACAGUCGGGGGCAUUUGUAUUCAAACGACAGAGGUGAAAUUCUUGGACCGUUUGAAGACAAACUACUGCGAAAGCAUUUGCCAAGAAUGUUUUCAUUAAUCAAGAACGAAAGUUAGAGGUUCGAAGGCGAUUAGAUACUGCCCUAGUUCUAACCAUAAACGAUGCCAGCUAGCGAUCUGAGGACGUUUUUUUUGUAGACUCCUCA